AUGGACUUAGGGCUUAUACUCGUUUUCUCUGUCCUUAUUUUAACAGGUGUUCAAUGUGAGGUGCAGUUGCUGGAGUCUGGUGGAGGCUUAGUGCAGCCUGGAAAGUCUCUGAAACUCUCCUGUGCAGCCUCUGGAUUCACCUUCAAUAAUUAUGAAAUGAACUGGGUCCGACAGACUCCAGGGAAAGGGUUGGAGUGGGUUGCAUACAUUAGUACUGGUGGUGGUAGCACCUACUAUCCCGACACUGUGAGGGCCGGUUCACAAUCUCCAGAGACAACACCAAGAACACUCUGCAUCUGGAAAUGAGCAGUCUGAGGUCUGAGGACACAGCCAUGUAUUACUGUGCAAGAGACACAGUGAGUGAAUGCUACUGUGGACAGUGUGACAUACAAUUGCUGGAGUCUGGUGGAGGCUUAGUGCAGCCGGGAAAGUCCCUGAAACUCUCCUGUGAAGCCUCUGGAUUCACCUUCAGUAACUACUGGGUGACUUGGGUCCGCCAGGCUCCAGGGAAGGGGCUGGAGUGGAUCGCAUACAUUCAUCCAAAUGGUGGUGCCACUGUCUAUACUGACGCUGUGAAGGGCAGGUUCACAGUUUCCAGAGACAAUGCCAAGAACACUCUGCACCUGGAAAUGAACAGUCUGAGGUCUGAAGACACAGCCAUGUAUUACUGUGCAAGAGACAAAACACAGUGA